rnacentral:rRNA from 1 species
UACAGAGGGUGCAAGCGUUAAUCGGAAUUACUGGGCGUAAAGCGUGCGUAGACGGUCAUGUAAGUCGGGUGUGAAAGCCCCCGGCUCAACUGGGGAGGGUCACGCGAUACUGAUCGACUCGAAGGCAGGAGAGGGAAGUGGAAUUCCCGGUGUAGUGGUGAAAUGCGUAGAUAUCGGGAGGAACACCAGUGGCGAAGGCGACUUCCUGGCCUGUUCUUGACGCUGAGGCGCGAAAGCUAGGGUAGCAAACGGG